rnacentral:tmRNA from 1 species
GGGGUCGACUGGUUUUGACAGUAAGCCGAAAUGGUAUGUAAGCAUGUCGUGAAAUGUUGUGCACUCACGUUAAUCAGACACUUCAAGCUAUAACUGGCAACAACAAUUACGCUUUGGCGGCCUAAUUGACUGAAUUACAGUAAGUCUUGGCAUAUUCUCUGCAAGGCAGAGACGCUAAAUGUCCUACGCGCGCCCGUUCACCGUGGCAUGCGAAUUUGGGGCACAGAAAAACGGAGAUAGAAUUACUGGGGUUUUGACAGUAAUUUGAAAAUAAAUAAAACUAAGGUGCUGGCCGGGGUGUCUUUGCCCAAGCCACGCUCGAAAAUUCAAGAAAAGAAUAAGCAUGUAGAAAGCCUAUGAUUUCCUUAUCUGCACGCGGGUUCGAAUCCCGCCGACUCCACAA